GGUAGCGGAGAAAUUCCAAUCGAACCUGGAGAUAGCUGGUUCUCUCCGAAAUAGCUUUAGGGCUAGCCUCAAGUGAUGAUUAUUGGAGGUAGAGCACUGUUUGGACGAGGGGCCCCUCUCGGGUUACCGAAUUCAGACAAACUCCGAAUGCCAAUUAAUUUAACUUGGGAGUCAGAACAUGGGUGAUAAGGGCCGUGUUCGAAAGGGAAACAGC
rnacentral:rRNA from 1 species